ensembl:lncRNA HCP5 HLA complex P5
GGCCAGCAGCCCUUGGUUGGUGCAGAUGGUGAUAGGACCAGUGGGUCCCACAGCAUGGCCACACUGCACCUCCUUCGCUGUCAAGUGGGUCCCCCACGAAGAUACUGCACGGAGAGCAGUGCCAAGCCUGUGGAUCAGGAAUAUCAACAGCCCCCAGAGAGUGGUGCUGGCUGAGGGUCUGAGAGCAGGACAGGAAAACCCACCUAUGGAAUAGGUGCCUAUCCCUGUGAAGAUGAACCUCUGGCCCUUCCAGGAUGGAAGGAGUGCAAUGUAGUCAACUCCUCACUUAGGGUCUGGUUGGUCACCUAAAGAAAUAGAGCCCUACCAGGGAAGAUCAUUGGGUUCAAAUGCUGAUGAGUAGGACAUUUAGAGGUGGCAGUGUCUGGAUCUACCUUGGUAGGAGGGAGUCAGUACUGUUGGACCCAUAGGUAGCCUCAUCCCUGCCACUGUGUUUGCUCCAUUUAUGUACCCAUCCUACCCGGCCUGGGCUGACCCAUGGGGAAGGCUGGCUAAUUUCAGUGCUUCUGCUUGGUUGUUCAGGGCCAUUUCAGGUUUGGGUGUUUUCUGGGGAUGUUAACAUGGGAUUCAGGCUCAACUCACAAGAAACUUUUCCAUCUCAUGAUGGAUGCUGUUGGGCAUGUCCAAUGUAUGACUUCAUGAGUUACACAGAUGCUAAUUCGUAGGGGCACUUGGAAUCACAUGGUUGUUUUGUGUCCCAUGGUCAAGCAUUCUAUCUUAUCAGGGCCUACAGUAACAUGCCAAAAGUUGCUUCCAACAUAUUUCUCUGCUUUGGAUGGGGCAUAUUUCUGUGCUGUGGAUGACAUGGCCUUACUCCAGAAUCCCAGGCCCUCCACUGUGACUCUCCUACUGGUGCUUGGUUCAGCUCCACCCCAAAUCUUACCCCACCACUGGCACUUUCAGCACCAGGGGGUCUGAAGGAUGGUGACUGCGCCAUGGCCUGGAUCUGCUGCAGUGUCCUUUCCUGUGGAGGCUCCACUCAAAGCUGGCAUCCUCCUAUGUCACCUAGAGUGUGGGUCAAAGCAAUACACCUACAUGUAGAAUGUGAUGUCAGAACUCAAACAGGCUCACCAGGCAGUGUGCUUCCUUCCUUGCAUGAGGAUGCAAGAUGCAACAGUUUGUCUUUCACAUUGGAAGGGACACCCCUGGAUGCCCCUAACCACUAGACCUGUAAAACUUCACUGCAGUGGCCACUUCUGAAUCUCUGUAAGGUUUAUUUAUCUUCACCCUCUGGAGAGAAGAUGUUUUACCAAAGCCUCUAGUGUACCUUCCUCCUCUUACUCAUCCAUCCCAGUCAACAUGAUGUUGUCAAUGAAAUAAAGGAAUUUAAUAUUCUAUAGUAUAUCCAGGUUCUCCAGAUCUCUUAAGACUGUACUAUAGAGGCCUGGGGAAUUAUAAUAGCCCUGAGGCAAACUAUGAAUUAAAGUGUUGUGGAUCCCACAUGAA